rnacentral:lncRNA from 1 species
CUCCCUGUCCCUUGCCACAUCUACGCAUGGACCUCUACGAGGGGAGAGUUCAUCAUCUCAGGGCACCACAUCAACACUCCAAGUUCGCAUUCUUUCUCGAUCUCUGUUUUCUGUUGUUCCCUGUUGUUGUAUUGUAACCAGAUCAAGCAUCGAUUCCUUCCCCCAUUUAGUUCUGUGUUUCUAAUUAUUUUUCAUGUUUGAAGUUCAACUAUAUCUACAGGCGCAGCUGACCCUGACGUGCUCCUGCAUAUUGAUACUGUUGCUGCUGUCAAAAUUUCUCUUAACUGAACUUAACUCUUUUUACUGAUUGAACUGUGCAGGAGAUGUGUGGAGCGAGCACUGUGACAACGCAGUAAAGGAAAAUAAUGCAUGCUUGUAUGUCUGCGUCUUCAAUGAGAUUUGUUGUAAAAGUUUAUUUUUUUCCUUGUGCGUCAAUUGAGCUAACUUUUAAGACGUUUAGAGGCUUCGUGAAAUUCUACAAAAAGCUAUACGCUGGCAGGUGUGAAGUUCUACCACGGCUAUAUGCUGGAAGCUGUGAAGUCCUAGCACGGCUCUCCACCAAGUUCUAGUCGAUUCAACGUCUACUCUUUCCGUUUUUCACUCUAGUGAGCAUGAGAUGCUGCUGAUGCAUGUGCUCUUCUACCUCGGAAAGAAGCUACUGUUGCUUCGGAUUUGGGUGAACAUCCGGUAUGGAGAUGUGUGUAUGCUACGAUGAGAAGAUAAGGUAUUUUUUAUAGAAUCAACGUGUGGUGGAGAGACAUGCACCGCUUUGUCACAAAACCAUCAACCGGCUUAUAUAUUGCUUAAAUUAUUAUCACAUAUGUAAUUAGAAGAGCAAGUACUUAGUUUUUCAUGCUUUGAUGCGUAUAUUUUGUAAUUAUUUUUCAUUUACAAACCACUAACCAUGUGUUCAUUUUUUAUUUACUCUUUUGUGGAAUGGUUUGAUUUGUUUACAUAAAAAUAUUGUUCGCAUACUGAGAAAAUUUAAAUGCAAAAAGAAAUGGAAAGUUG